UGGCGGUAACUUUUAAACAUGCAAGUCGAGCGGUAACAGACAUAAAGAUUCAGCUUGCUGAAUCCGGUGCUGACGAGCGGCGAACGGGUGAGUAACGCGUAGGAAUCUACCCAGUAGCGGGGGAUAGCCCGGGGAAACCCGGAUUAAUACCGCAUACGCCCUAAGGGGGAGAAGGGGCAGCUUGCUGCUUUCACUAUUGGAUGAGCCUGCGUAAGAUUAGCUUGUUGGUGGGGUAAAGGCCUACCAAGGCGACGAUCUUUAGCUGGUCUGAGAGGACGAUCAGCCACAUUGGGACUGAGACACGGCCCAGACA
rnacentral:rRNA from 1 species